rnacentral:misc_RNA from 1 species
AAGUCGUAACAAGGUUUCCGUAGGUGAACCUGCGGAAGGAUCAUUAUCACGUAUCCACGUAUAAACCAAUUCGUGAACUGUCAACACUCAACCUCUGAGCUAUCGGUCGCUAUCAUGAAACUAUGGACGCAUUGUAUGAUUAGGCGUUCUCAUGAUAAUCAAGCCUGUCUCUUCAGAGUGUAUUAAUCAUACUUUUAACAUUAACCACUUGAACCUUUUAUAAAUUUCUUUGUUUGAACUGAUUUGUUUCUUACUCGGCCGUCAAACGCUGAGAAGAAAUCGAAUACGAAACAAAAAAGAACAACUCUUAGCAACGGAUAUCUUGGUUCUC